ACUGCAAGUAAAAAAUGAGAAGCGUAAAGCGUAAACAUUAAAUCAAUAAACAUUGAUAAAGAAAAGCUGUUCAUACUAUAUACUAUAAGUACAUAUGUAUAUAUAUAUUGUCAUGUCAAAGCUCAGCAACGUACUAAACUCGGCGUCACUAUGCAAGCGAUAUUUAUUAGAAAAAUAAGAAAGCAAAUCAAAAAAAAAUUAUGCAAUUAAUACUUUUAAUUUAUAUAAGUGAAGUGCUGUUUAUAUAAUUUCUCGCAACAAAAACAAAGGGUGCAACAUUUUCGUGUGUAUUACCAUAUAGAAUUAAUUAAAUGCAUAUUUAUAGCUAAAUCAUUCUGCCAAUGCAAUCUGCAAUUUCAAAGUCAAUAAACUCUCAAUGCAAGUUUCGCAAAAGCUUUUUUCGCUGCAAGUUUUUAACGUUGCCUGCAAAAGCUGCGCUACCAAAAGCUGAAAGCUGUGUGCACUUUGAGUUGUUGUUGCUAUUAUGUGGAUAAUGUUUGCUGGUAUAGUGGGUGUAGUGAGCAACGAAACUGCCGGCAAACACGGUUAGCACCGAAAGAAUACAGUUUGUUUACCUGGCCAAAAUGCAGAGGGUUGGAAAUUUUCCACUAUCAAACACAGCUCAAAUCACAUCAAAACAAGUGGAAAAUUUUCACUUGUAACAGCUGAUGCAGCAAACAGCAACAAAGAGAAAGAUCAAGAAGUAUUUUUGGGGUGAUAUUAAAAUACCAGUUGGUCUAAUUGGGCAAACGAUUGUGACCAGUUAGAAUGCGGCACGUGCGUCAAGUGAGGGAAAAUCAAUGAACAAAAAAGAAACAAGUGUGUGUGGAUCGUCAGUCCAAGAGUAAUGUGCGAAAAUAUUAUUCUACAUAUUUAUGUAUGAAUCACACCCACGCAUGUGACGUAGACUUGCGUCGAUAAGAAAAAAACAUAACAAAAACAAAAGAAAAAUUUUUUUUUGUACUUACCCAAAAAAUGUGAAAUCACUAAUUAUCUUUCACUCUUUUUAUAAAUAAAUUGAUAUAUGUAAAUUAGAAAUGUUUCAACCGCGCCAUUUUGUACUAUUUAUAGAAUUUCAACACUUUUUAGUUUUAUCAACUACAAACAAUUACACACACUUUUUAAUAGAUUUUCAAUUUGAUACUUUGUUUCUAUGCGCAGAGACUUUGAUUUCGCUAUGCGCUGCUGCUGCUUCUGUUUUGUUGGACGGUCACCCCGCCUUCUUACACCUUCUUCUGACAGUCACCACUUCACCGCCUCCUUCGCUGCUGCUUUGACAACGCAGCUGCUUUCGUUGCGUAAAUUAUGCAAAUUUCAAAAAAAAAUUUCGCUAAUAAAAUUUACGUUAGGGCUUUGA